rnacentral:rRNA from 1 species
AAUGAACGUUGGCGGCGUGGAUUAGGCAUGCGAGUCGCGCGAGAAUGUAGCAAUACAGGAAAGCGGCGAAAGGGAGAGGACAACAUGGGAAUCUGCCCGGGGGACGAGGAUAGCGUCGGGAAACUGACGGUAAUACUCGAUAAUGUUUGCGGACCAAAGGUGAGAUUCCGCCCCUGGAUGAGCCCAUCGCCCCAUUAGCUUGUUGGCGGUGUAAUAGACCACCAAGGCGAUGAUGGGUAGCUGGUGUGAGAGCACGACCAGCCUCACUGGCACUGAGACACU